rnacentral:tRNA from 1 species
UUAAUUGAAGCCAAAUAAGAGGCAUGUCACUGUUAAUGACAUUACUGAGUUUAACCUCCGAUUAAG